AACAAGAGUUUUAUUCUAUGUGUAAUGAGUAGGAGAGGUUUUAAGCAGAAGAGUACAUAAUCUGACUUUUGGUUUAAAAGUCUCAACCUUGGUGGAUAUGGAUUUAACAAGCUACCGGGGUCAGGAAAGAGGACAGAAUUCUGAGUUAAGAAGUAACUGUAGUAAUCUAGGAAAGAGAUCAGGAAUAUUUAAACUAAGGAGGAAGUGAAUCCACCAGCAACAGUGCCUGCUGGCAGGCAUUAUGGCUUAAUUCUCCCAGGAAACCCUGGCUGAGAACGUCUACGGGAUCAAGUCUAAUCUCAAAAUGAAACAGAAGAUCAUUUACAUGCCAUAGACGUCUCCACCUUAUUUCUUGAGACGUCUCUUCCCUUCUUCCUAUAUCAAGCUACCUACAAUUUCCUUAAUGCCGAGCCUAUUUCCAACUUCUUUGUUUGGAAUUCCCUUGGAGUCUCUGUGGUAGUAUCUACUAAUCUUUAUCAAAGUGGAAGCAUGAUCUUAUCCAUGAAACACUUCCUCCUAUUCCCUAAUGCAGAACCGAGGUCUUCCUUCUUGGUAGGUAUAUGAUAGCGAUCUUCAGCCAUCUGAUGGGAAGUCAUGUAGAAGACAGAACAAACAUGAUCUCAGCUAUAUGGAAGGCCACACAGGACCAGAAUGUUAUAGUCCUAAGUUUGUCAAGUAAUGAAUUUGUCUUCAACUGUCACUGGGUUUAGCAUGUCAAUCUGGACAACCAGGUCAUUUCCAGGACACUGGUUUCUGAAAAUACAGAUUUGGGACAGUUACAAAUAUUUCACUUGACCCCAAAGGCCCCAAAUGAGCUGGUGGACUAUUAAUUGCUUCAAGGUUAACUAAAGCUUCAUCUCUUUGGGGAAAAAGUUUAUGUGUAACACCAGAGGAUGCAUUAUUUUAUGAAAAGAAAAUAUUCCACAAAAAUAAUCUGCUCUUUCACAGUUAAAAUAAUCCUUCCACACUGGUUCCAAAAGAUGACCAAAAAACACUGAUAGAUUAAUAACCAUCCCCCACCAUGAUACAAAUCAUUAGGUACACAUAAGCUUAAAAUAUUAAAUUAUGAAAUACUAAUAUACGUGAGUCUAACUAGAUGUAAUUUUAUUUACUAUAUAUAUCCCUUCACCUCUGCUUCCUGAAUUGGUGGGCUGUUAACUAGUUAGCACCUUGUCAGGCAGGACAAACCUCCUCAUACUAAGUAGAUGAGCUCCAUUUUACUAUUAACUCCUUUUGUGCUGAAGGGCAGAAGUACAUUUAGAUGGCUGCAUGCUGUUCCACCAAUAUUACCGCGACUCCUUCAGAUACUCAAGAAUGUAAAGGAAAACACGAACAUGAGGAAAAGUGCUUAAAAAAAAAGGAAAAGGCCUAAGUGAACCUUAUAGAGAUGAAAAAUACAGUAUAUGAAAGGAAACAUUGUGCUGAAUUGGAUUUGUGGCAGAUCAGACCCUUCAGAAGAACCAAUGGUCAACCGGAAGUCGCAGCAAUAAAAUAUAUCCAAGAUGAAGCAGUGAGAGGAAAAAAAAGACUUAAAAAAUAAUUCAAUUCUCUCUGAGACAAUAUGAAGUAGUACAAUACAUGCACGCUGGACUCUAAUCAGGAGAGGAGAAAGAGACACAGGAAAAAAUUUUCAGUAAUAAAAACCCAAAAUGUUCCAAGCUUGAUAAAACCCUAUAACCAAAGCAGCUCCAAGACUCCAAGCAGGGUGCACAUAAACACACACACACACACACACACACACACAGAAUCACAAGGCCCAUCAAAGUCCUAAUGCUGAAAACUAGGGAUCAAGAAAAAAAAAAAAUCUUAAACCAAGUGAGAGGAAAAAAGAGACAGAGAUAGAGGGCCAAGAUAACAAGGCCAGCAGAUUUUUCCAUCAAGAACGAAACAAGCCAAAAUGCUAAUGUAACAACUUUACAGAUUGAAACAAAAAGCUGUCAACCCAGAAUUCUAUACCCAGUGAAAAUAUAUUUAUUUCAAAAUGAGAGAUAAACACUUCUUCAAGCAAAAGCUAACAGCAUAUAUCGCCAUCAGAUCCAUACUACAAGAAAUGUUAUUUAUGUGGUUAAUAAAAGAGGCUUUUGCUUCAAAGUUUUCUUUAAAAACUAACUCUUGGAGUGCCUGGGUGGCUCAGUCAGUUGGGCGGCCGACUUCAGCUCAGGUCAUGAUCUCAAGGUCCGUGAGUUCCAGCCCCGCGUC